rnacentral:rRNA from 1 species
AUCGAACGCUGGCGGCAGGCCUAACACAUGCAAGUCGAACGGUAACAGGAAGAAGCUUGCUUCUUUGCUGACGAGUGGCGGACGGGUGAGUAAUGUCUGGGAAACUGCCUGAUGGAGGGGGAUAACUACUGGAAACGGUAGCUAAUACCGCAUAACGUCGCAAGACCAAAGAGGGGGACCUUCGGGCCUCUGGCCAUCGGAUGUGCCCAGAUGGGCUUAGCUGGUAGGUGGGGUAACGUCUCACCUAGGCGACGAUCCCUAGAUGGUCUGAGAGGAUGACCGGCGACACUGGAGCUGAGACACGGACCAGGCUCCUACGAGAGGCAGCAGUGGGGAAUGUUGCGCAAUGGGCGCGAGCCUGAUGCAGCCAGGCCGCGUGUAUGGAAGAGGCCUUCGGGUUGUAAAGUACUUUCAGCGGGGGGGAAGGGAGUAAAGUUAAUACCUUGGCUGAUUGACGUUACCCGCAGAAGAAGCACCGGCUAACUCCGUG